rnacentral:rRNA from 1 species
CCUACGGGAGGCAGCAGUGGGGAAUAUUGCACAAUGGGGGAAACCCUGAUGCAGCAACGCCGCGUGGGUGAAGGAGCGUUUCGGCGCGUAAAGCCCUAUCGGCAGGGAAGAAGGAGGACGGUACCUGACUAAGAAGCCCCGGCUAACUACGUGCCAGCAGCCGCGGUAAUACGUAGGGGGCAAGCGUUAUCCGGAUUUACUGGGUGUAAAGGGUGAGUAGGCGGCAUGGUAAGCCAGAUGUGAAAGCCUUGGGCUUAACCCGAGGAUUGCAUUUGGAACUAUCAAGCUAGAGUACAGGAGAGGAAAGCGGAAUUCCUAGUGUAGCGGUGAAAUGCGUAGAUAUUAGGAAGAACACCAGUGGCGAAGGCGGCUUUCUGGACUGAAACUGACGCUGAGGCACGAAAGCGUGGGGAGCGAACAGGAUUAGAUACCCGAGUAGUC